rnacentral:sRNA from 1 species
GCUAGGUGUGGUGGUGCAUGUCUGUAAUUCCAGAUGCUCAGGAGGCUGAGGCAGGAGGAUCACAAGUUCAAGGGAAGCCUCAGCAACUUAGUGAGUUCGUCAACAAUUUAGUGAGACCCUGUCUCUA